rnacentral:rRNA from 1 species
UACGAAGGGGGCUAGCGUUGUUCGGAAUUACUGGGCGUAAAGAGCUCGUAGGCGGUGUGUCGCGUCGGCCGUGAAAACCUGCAGCUUAACUGUGGGCUUGCGGUCGAUACGGGCAUCACUGGAGUUCGGCAGGGGAGACUGGAAUUCCUGGUGUAGCGGUGAAAUGCGCAGAUAUCAGGAGGAACACCGGUGGCGAAGGCGGGUCUCUGGGCCGAUACUGACGCUGAGGAGCGAAAGCGUGGAGAGCGAACAGG